rnacentral:rRNA from 1 species
CCUACGGGAGGCAGCAGUGGGGAAUAUUGCACAAUGGGGGAAACCCUGAUGCAGCGACGCCGCGUGAGUGAAGAAGUAUUUCGGUAUGUAAAGCUCUAUCAGCAGGGAAGAAGAAAGACGGUACCUGACUAAGAAGCCCCGGCUAACUACGUGCCAGCAGCCGCGGUAAUACGUAGGGGGCAAGCGUUAUCCGGAUUUACUGGGUGUAAAGGGAGCGUAGACGGCUGUGCAAGUCUGAAGUGAAAGCCCAGGGCUCAACCCUGGGACUGCUUUGGAAACUGUGGAGCUAGAGUGCUGGAGAGGUAAGUGGAAUUCCAGGUGUAGGAGUGAAAUCCGUAGAUAUCUGGAGGAACAUCAGUGGCGAAGGCGACUAUCUGGCACAUAACUGACGCUGAGGAGCGAAAGCGUGGGUAGCAAACAGGAUUAGAUACCCCGGUAGUC